CCUAGCCAAAACAGGGUUCCACACCUCGUUAGGGAGCGGGACCAUUAAAAUAAACUCUCACUUGUUUGCCUAGUGUGUAACUCAAAAUCUAUUAUUUCCACUGAUCAAACCGCAUCUUGCAUAGCAUGUAACUUAACCACUAUUGCAUAACCUCGUAUAGUCAGUUAGUGUAACCAAACUCUUAUCUUAUGUCACUUUGUCUCUCUGCUGACUACUUUUUUUUCAGAAUUUUUUUAUUUCUACAAUUGAAAUUGCGCAGUUUAGCUACUAAACCUUUAUCACAAAAUAC